AGUGAACGCUGGCGGUAGGCCUAACACAUGCAAGUCGAACGGCAGCACAGGAGAGCUUGCUCUCUGGGUGGCGAGUGGCGGACGGGUGAGGAAUACAUCGGAAUCUACUUUUUCGUGGGGGAUAACGUAGGGAAACUUACGCUAAUACCGCAUACGACCUACGGGUGAAAGCAGGGGACCUUCGGGCCUUGCGCGAUUGAAUGAGCCGAUGUCGGAUUAGCAAGUUGGCGGGGUAAAGGCCCACCAAGGCGACGAUCCGUAGCUGGUCUGCGAGGAUGAUCAGCCACACUGGAACUGAGACACGGUCCAGACUCCUACGGGAGGCAGCAGUGGGGAAUAUUGGAAAAUGGGCGCAAGCCUGUUCCAGCCAUACCGCGUGGGUGAAGAAGGCCUUCGGGUUGUAAAGCCCUUUUGUUGGGAAAGAAAUCCAGCUGGCUAAUACCCGGUUGGGAUGACGGUACCCAAAGAGUAAGCACCGGCUAACUUCGUGCCAGCCGCCGCAGUAA
rnacentral:rRNA from 1 species